UUCCGUAGGUGAACCUGCGGAGGGAUCAUUACAAGAACGCCCGGGCUUCGGCCUGGUUAUUCAUAACCCUUUGUUGUCCGACUCUGUUGCCUCCGGGGCGACCCUGCCUUCGGGCGGGGGCUCCGGGUGGACACUUCAAACUCUUGCGUAACUUUGCAGUCUGAGUAAACUUAAUUAAUAAAUUAAAACUUUUAACAACGGAUCUCUUGGUUCUGGCAUCGAUGAAGAACGCAGCGAAAUGCGAUAAGUAAUGUGAAUUGCAGAAUUCAGUGAAUCAUCGAAUCUUUGAACGCACAUUGCGCCCCCUGGUAUUCCGGGGGGCAUGCCUGUUCGAGCGUCAUUUCACCACUCAAGCCUCGCUUGGUAUUGGGCAACGCGGUCCGCCGCGUGCCUCAAAUCGUCCGGCUGGGUCUUCUGUCCCCUAAGCGUUGUGGAAACUAUUCGCUAAAGGGUGUUCGGGAGGCUACGCCGUAAAACAACCCCAUUUCUAAGGUUGACCUCGGAUCAGGUAGGGAUACCCGCUGAACUUAAGCAUAUCAAUAAGCGGAGGA
rnacentral:rRNA from 1 species